rnacentral:lncRNA from 1 species
UUUUCUCCGAAACGGGUUCGAUAUUUUUACUUAAAGAGUUUGUUCUUUCCUCCCCUGCCUAAACUUCUCUAGCCUUUUUUUCCUUUUUGUUCUCCGAUUUAGUUGUCUUAACAUUGUGGCUUGUUGUGGUUUUUUUUUCUUUGUAGGAUAAUAGGGUUGCUCUAGAUCUUCUCUCUCUACUUGAUCAUCUUUAGCUCCAGAAGCAAGGAAAUUUGCAGAAUCUAUCUCCAAACUAUCAGGUUCUUUGUUGCCUCUUAAUCUUUAUUUCCUUUCUAUAUUUAUUGGUUUUAUUCCCCAAAAAUUUUCACCUGGUUAAUAUCUAAAUUUUGCCUAUAUUUUUCCUUAUUUAUUUAUCCAUGCUUUCUCCCAAGAUAGAUGCAGCCAAGAGAAGAUCAUCACCGAGAAACAUUGCUUGCAAUUUUGCUUCCUUGGGGUUCGUCCUUCUUCAUCUUAGGUUUUCUCUAUUUUAUUUUUUCAUUUUUUUAACUUUUGUACUCUUUUUUAAGUAUUUUCUAUGUUACUUAUUUCUUUCUUUUGGGUCUCUAGAGCCCCCUAUACAAACUUGUAUGAUAUUUAUUAUAGAUGGAAAAAUUACUUGGUAGAGAAACUGAAGGACAAUGUUGUCGAGAACCUUUGAAAAAUGGAGUUUUCGUGGCUCAUCUGAUGGCUUUUUUUUUUUUUGGUUUGUUAUGUGCAAGGGUGCGUUCAAUUAUUGACUCACAAAAGACAAUCCAUAUGGUAACCAACCCAAAGUCUCCAUUUGUGGAGAUCAAAUUUCAUGUCAAUGAUUGUUGAAAACUUUAGUUAUUUUUUCGUGUCUUUAUUUUUGAUAAAACUAUUUUUCUUUUUUUUUCCUUUGUGAAGUUUUGGUUCUCAUUUCCGGAGAGUGUAUAUGGAUUCUUUAAAACAAAAGAAAAAAAAUACUCUUGUGUUUUCUUAGUUGCUGAUAAAAGCACUAAAACUGAUCAAUGAGCCAUUAGUUGAGAUACUCGUUUUAAGUACAUGUUCCCUAUAUAUUUGUAUAUGCAUGAAUCUUGCCGGCCUUUCUUCUUUUAAAUGAGUACCUUUUAUUUUAGGUUUACAAGAAUACCUUUUUUGGUUAAAUUUUUGUUUAUUUUUUUCCUAGAAGAUUGGUUUGAAUUCAUCUACUAGGGAUAACAUUUUGAGAAUAUAAAGUGAAUAUAGAGUAAAUAUGGCAGAUUGAGUAUUAGCCUGUUAUUGUAGAGAAAUUUCUUACCAUCUACUGCCAUUUAAGUGGUUUACUACAUGUUUCUUGCUUAUUUAGACUUUACCUUUCGUGAAAAUGAUUUCAAUGUUUAUGGGCAAUUAAAAGUUUGGUGUGGUAAUAUGUUGGUCUUUCCAAUUUCUUUAUAUUUCUUGAAAAGGUAAAGAGAAUUUUUUGUAGCUAAAAUAACAAAAAAGAUGUUAGGAUUACUUUGCAUUUAGAUCCUUUUUCUUAAGUCAUCUUCUUUUUAUUUUACUUUUGGUUAUGUUAUUAAUUUUUUUUAUUCUUUUAUGUUAUUAAUUUACUUUGUUCAUGUUAAAGGUGCAAAUGAUUGAAGAUGCAGUCACUCUGAAACCAGUUCAUGGAAUAACAAACUUUGUAAGUUAAAAAUGUAGUCCUUUUUUUUUAUCUUGCUUUUGUGUUGAGCAUGGUCACUAUUAGAUGGUUUAUUCUUAAUUUCAUCCUUUCAGUCCUUCACUAUUUGCACACCAUUAAUUCACUAUAUUGGAAUCAUAAAUACUACUUUGUUUAGUAUAAAAGGUUUUUUCGGUCUCUUAUUUUAUUUAAUUAUCUUUUAUUACAACAAGAAACGUGAAGAAUUAUUCAAAUUUUACUGAGGAAAAAAUUGUUUAAGUGGGCAAUUUUUUGUAGGCUUUACUCGUCAUAUAUAUACUAAUCUGCUCUAUGAUUUUCUGCUCAGAUUUUUGUCAAGCGAGGGAAGAAAGAAAAAAUGGUGGUCAAUUCUUACUUUUAAGCAUUAUGGAGUUAUACAACUACGCGAAACUUAAAUACUUACUAAAUUUGUUGUUGACCAUUAUGCUGUUAUUGUAAGAAAACUUUUAAGAAUGAUUGCCAUUCAGGAGGUUUACUCUAUAUUUCUUGCUCAUUUAGACUGUCUG